ACCCCAAUAUAUCAAAUACCAAGCAAUUCAAAAUUAUUUCAUGGUAACAAUCAUCCACCAAGAAUGGGCAAAGAAACACAAAGCCUAGAAAUUUAUGUUUGGUGGUGCCCUAAAAUUUUGAAAACUGUGCUAAGGAUGAUCAUCCUAAAGGCCUGCUGUCAGCUCAGGCUAAGGAUAGAGGAGGAAUCCACCUUUAAGCAGAUUUAAGGUUUGGUUAUUCCAACCCAACCGAGUCCUGUUUUGCACUGAACUGUGUCCUCUGUUCAAGUUCCUUAUACAUCACCAAGACAUUCAGUUCCCAUCAUCUCUAUGGCUAUAUUGGUUGCUAGUGAUACGAGUUGGGAGUCUAACAACCUCCAGAGGGUUAGGAACCCCUUAAUCUAAUUAUUAAAAACAGGCUAAUUCGUUUUCA